rnacentral:antisense_RNA from 1 species
UUUACUACUUUCAGAUUCAUAUUCGUGUAUGUCAUUUUGU